rnacentral:rRNA from 1 species
ACGGGGUGCAGCAGGCGCUGAAACCUCCUCAAUGCACUAACGUGCGAAGGGGUUACCUCGAGUGCCACCUGAAGAAGGUGGCUUUUCCUUGGUCUAAAAAGCCUCGGGAAUAAGAGGGGGGCAAGACUGGUGUCAGCCGCCGCGGUAACACCAGCCCCUCGAGUGGUGGGGAUGAUUAUUUGGCCUAAAGCGUCCGUAGCCGGCCGUAUAAGUUUCCCGUUAAAUCCAACGUCUCAAGCGUUGGACUGCGGGAAAUACUGUACGGCUAGAGAGUGGGAGAGGUCAGCGGUAUUCUGGGGGUAGGGGCGAAAUCCUUUGAUCCCCGGAGGACCACCAGUGGCGAAGGCUGCUGACUAGAACACGUCUGACGGUCAGGGACGAAAGCUGGGGUAGCGAACCGGAUUAGAUACCCGGGUAGUCCCAGCCGUAAACGAUGCAUGCUAGGUGUUGGGUUGGCCACGAGCCACCCCAGUGCCGCAGGGAAGCCGUUAAGCAUGCCGCCUGGGAAGUACGAUCGCAAGAUUGAAACUUAAAGGAAUUGGCGGGGGAGCAC